AAAACCUCCCUCCUAAGGUCUUAGGAUCCAAACAGUCUGUUCCCUGGGUAAAGACUGCUCCGGGGAAGAAUUCUUCCCCUUCCUUCUACUGGCUAUCCUUUUUCUAAUACAAUGAACAGCAUCUAAGCCAGGUUUCUGCCCCAUAUUUUGAGGCCCUGGAUGAACCAAGCCUGGAUAGCUGAGAAACAAACUCAGGUCCUAAGGCAGUCAUGUCCACCUUGCUGGCUUUCACAUCUCUAUACUUAAUCCUGGAGGAAACAGAAGAACACCUGUUUGAGCCAGAAUUCUUGUCAGGAGGACUUCUGGAUAGGAGCGUCAAGACUUAAUUAGAAUUUGAAAUUCACGGAUCAUUGACCACAGCACCAUAAUUGGCUUGGGCAUAUGCACUCCUGCAGAUCACCAGUGAGCCAACUCCUUGAAACAACCACUCCAAAUGCUAUGUUAAGAAUGAAUUGUAGAUGUGAUGGCUGGAGUUCAAGCAGCCAUCUUGUGCCAUAAGAUGAAAACUACACACUGAGGAUGGUGGAGCAUCAAGAGAGAAGGAGCCUGAGUCUGUGAGGACUUCUUAAAGCUGCUCUGCCAGCCCU